rnacentral:lncRNA from 1 species
CUGGUCUUUAACUCCUAGGUUCAAGCUAUCCCCCCACCCUCGUCCCCCAGCCUGGUUCCCCGCUAGGCCUCCCAACGCACUGGGAUUACAGGCGUGAACCACCGUGCCUGGUCUCUUUACCUUUUUUUGAGUGUACGUCCAACUCAAGUGACUUCCCAGUUCAUCCACCAUGUGUUGGUUUAUCCAACCUACACAUGCAUUUUGAGGGCCUGCUGUGUGUACAAAGACAUGGGAAGCCAGGCACUCUUUUUCACUUGUUUUUUUUUUACCUUGAAGCCCAGCUAAGAACACAGAUUUGUUCAUGAAAUAUCUUUUCCUCUGGCUUUAUUCAUUCUGAGUAAGUAAUGAAUUCGGCUGAAGCUUCAGUCUUGUUAGGAAAACUGGUUCUAGGAACCAAGGGCAUGAGGCCCAAUCUCUAGGUUAAGCUGGGUUAAGUUCAUUAGGCAUAACGUUAGAAAAAAAUUAGUUUUUUGUCUGACACCUUUUCCAGUGGGAGAAGCUGGAUUGAAAAGUUUUCAACUUGGCUGUGUAAUCCAGCAUCAGGAAAACUGCUGCCCUCUUCAACCCAUGUACAUUUUAAUCUCCCCUAUCCUGGAUUCUGCUGAACAGAUCAGCCCUAAUCCUACACAGGCACAGUGCAGUCAGGGAUGGUGAUAUCACAGGGUUGAAGACAAGAAAGACAGAUGUGUGCCUGCACCCAGUUGCUAGAGCGUGGAGGCAAUAAUGAUGGAACAGAAGGCAAGAGGCUGUCAUCGUUCACAUCACAAGGACCAGAGACACCUUUCCUGGGAAGAGAGCUGACAACCUUCUGUGGUAAGGGGUGAACAUCCUUGGGAAGCCACAGAGAGCAAGGCGCAGUUUUUCAUUGAUCACCACUUUCAAGAUGCUCCCAGAAUCGUGCUGUCUAGGAAGCCAUUUAAACUGGUGAGAAGCCAUCCUCUCUUGAAUGGGGGCUCCCACUGUACAUCUGGCACCCACUUCACAGAUUCUGGGGGAUGUCAACACCAGCACUGCUGAGCUGUGUGACCUUGAGCAAGACAGUUAGCCUCUCUGAACCUCAGUGUCCUUCUCUGUAGGCUGGAGAUUGAUAUACCUUCAUUAUCGGGGUAUGAGAGUGUUAUAAGGUGGGAUGGUGGAACACGCUGACUGGUCUGGGCUAUUCAAGAUCCAUGAACUGGAAGAUGCUUUCUUAUAACUCAGAGAAAAGAGAUGAAAAUGAAUCAAAGAACAGGAAGGAGACAAGCUCAGGAGAGUCACCCUAAGAAGGAUGUGUGGAAGACUUGACUGGAGGAUCAAAAUGUGUCGGGGGAAGGUGUACAAGGAGGAGUAAGGACACAGAUGUCCUGACUUCACACAGUGGGGGAUUAGAAGCCACCAUCAAACACAGAUGAAACAGGAAUAAAAGUAGUAGUACAUUACUUAAGCUUUAAAAGGGUAAGACUCCUGGGAAUUUGGAAGCUGAGACUUGAGGCAAGUAUUUAGGAUUUGCUGUCUCACCUCCCUGCUAUGACAGUCCUUAAUUAAUGGAGAUGAUGGAGAACAGCUUGCUGGGCUGAGUGGCAGGAGCCAUGCAGCUGCUGGGGCUGGAGUGGGUCAGGAAGCUUCAUCAAUCUGGGACACAUGACGUGCUUGGUGGUGGCGGAGCCUGACGCAUCCCUCUUCAUCGACAUUGUGUCAAUAGGAGCAGAGGCAUUUAGCUGUGUAAACACAGAGCUUCAGUGGCAGCACCCUAAAUGCUUAGCUGAUAGAUCCGGAAUUAAAUACAGACCUAGAAACUGGAGUUGGAAAACUUCCUGGCAGCACUCCUUCCCUGCCAUCCCGGUGAUCCCCUUCUGGAUGGAGGGUGUGGAGCUCAGCACAUUCACGUCUGCAGUUCUCAGAGAACCAAGUGUUAAGGAAUGUCAGGGAAGGAAGAAGGCAGCCAGCCAGGAAGGGGAGGUCCUGGCCUGAGCACGCCAGGCACAGAGGGAUAGAGGGUAGGGAGGAAACUGCACCUGUCUCCAACCCUCGACCCCAGCCCCGAAACACGACAUUGGCUGAAACAGAUUAAAAGCAUAAAAUGGCCCAAAGAAAUGGGAGAAGGUUGGCCUCUGGUCGGGCAAACAUGAGGGCAUGAAGAUAUAUAAUGUCCCACACGGGAGGAAACCCUUGCCGGGCCCCUCAGGAUUUAUAACAAGCUCACCUGAAGGAGAAACUUCAGGGGCACUUACACCAUCAGAUACCUAGAAAGGAGCUGUCAUUUCCUCACUGAAGAGUUUGCAAGCAGAUGGUAAAAGGGGUUUAAUUUGAAAACACUGAAACAUCGUGUUCGCUCAAAACCAUGACAAUUGCAGUUUUAUUGUCUCCACUCAGGAAAAUGUGUGUCUGGAUCAUCUUGUGGCCCGAAUGGGGAGAAAAGAUGCAGUAUUCCAAAGCAGGAGAUUCACUGAAAAAGAUGUUUAAGAAGUUGCUGAUGAAGAAAAGUUCAGGAUUCACAGCUCCAUACAAAGGGAAUAGCCACUUUUCUCAUUUUGAGAUAUGACUACUAACAAGUAUUAUUCUGCAUCUUCAGCCAGGCUGUGGAAGGCCCCAUUCUUUCUGUAACACAGAUGUUCAAUUGGAAUUUUCCAUCUGGUCACAUAAUUCUGCUUUGGGAUUUAACAGGUUAACUUGGCACUGGUCACUGGCCUUGGAGGGCAAAAUAUGAUAGUUCAGCAUAGAUUCUAUUUGUUGAUAACUCAUCAUAGCCACAUUGGCAUCAAUAAGUUUUCUGUAGGGCACACUUUUCCUUUAAUGUGGACACAGUCACAUAAUAAUAUGCUUAUGGUGCAGACGUUGGUUCUAAACUCACUUUGCAUUAUCUGUAUCUGUAUCUGCAUCUAUAUCUGUAUCUGUAUCUAUCUGUAUCUACAUCUGUAUCUGUAUCUGUACUUAUAUCUGUAUCUGUAUCUAUCUGUAUCUGUAUCUAUAUCUGUAUCUGUAUAUAUAUCUGUAUCUAUUUGUAUCAUCUAUCAGUAUCUGUAUCUAUAUUUGUAUCUAUCUAUAUCUGUAUCUGUAUCUGUCUGUAUUUGUAUCUGUAUCUGUAUCAUCAAUCUGUACCUGUAGCUGUCUGUAUCUGUAUCAUCUAUCUGUAUCUGUAUCUAUACUUGUAUCUGGAUCUAUAUCUGUAUCUAUACUUGUAUCUGUAUCUAUAUCUGUAUCUAUCUGUAUCUGUAUCUGUAUCAUCUAUCUGUAUCUGUAUUUUUAUCUGUAUCUUUAUCUAUACCAGUAUCUGUAUCUAUCUGUACUUGUAUCUAUCUGUGUCUGUAACUGUCUGUAAUUAUUUAUCUACAUCUAUUUCUAUCUAAUCUCAUUUUAUUUUUAUUUAUUUUUGGAGCAGUUUCAGGUUCACAGCAAAAUGGAGCAGCAAACACAGAGAUUUCCCAUACAACCCGGUCCCCACAUGUGCACAGCCUCCCCCAUUGUUAACAACCCCUGCCAAGGUGGCAUUUUUGUUAUAACUGAUGAACCUACAUUUACACAUACUUAUCACCCAAAGUUCAUAGUUUACAUUAGGGCUCACUCUUGUUGUACAUUAUACAGAUUCAGACCGGUUAUGAUGAUACGUCUUUAUCAUCAUGGUAUUGUACAGAGCAGCUUCAUAUCCUAAAAAUCUUCUGCACUCAGUCUGUUCAUGCCUUCCCACUAACCCUUGGCAGCCACUAAUCUUUUUACUGUCUACCUUCUUUUGCCUUUUCCAAAAUGUCAUAUAGUUGGAAUCAUACAGUAUGAGGCCUUUUCACAUUGGCUUUUCUCAUUUAGUAAUAUGCAUUUAAGACUCCUCUCUGUCUUUUUACGGUUUGAUAGCUCAUUUUAUGACUUGAUAGCUCAUUGAUUUUCAGCACUAAAUAAUAUUUCAUUGUCUAAAUGUACCACAGUUUAUUUUUCCAUUCAUCUGUUGAAGAACAUCUUGAUUUUUUCUAAGUUUUGGCACAUAUGAAUGAAUAAAGUUGAUAUACAUAUCUGUGUGCAGAUUUUUCUGUGUAUCUGUUUUCAGCUCCUUUGGGUAAAUAUCAAGGAGUAUGAUUGCUGGAUAGUAUGGCAGGAGUGUGUUUAGUGUUGUAA